UACGUAGGGGGCAAGCGUUGUCCGGAUUUACUGGGUGUAAAGGGUGCGCAGGCGGAUGGAUAAGUCAGAGGUGAAAGACUACAGCUCAACUGUAGAACUGCCUUUGAUACUGUUCAUCUUGAGUGCAGAAGAGAGAAGCGGAAUUCCAGGUGUAGUGGUGAAAUACGUAGAUAUCUGGAAGAACACCGGUGGCGAAGGCGGCUUCUUGGUCUGACACUGACGCUCAGGCACGAAAGCGUGGGUAGCAAACAGG
rnacentral:rRNA from 1 species